rnacentral:rRNA from 1 species
GCUUAACACAUGCAAGUCGAGCGAGAAUCGUUUAUUGAAGGCUUCGGCUGGAAAUAGAUGAGGAAAGCGGCGAACGGGUAAGUAACGCGUGGGCAACCUGGCCUUAAGAAAAGGAUAGCCCCCGGAAACGGGGAGUAAUACUUUAUGAGAAUGAAAGAGGGCAUCCUACUUUCAUUCAAAGCGCAAGCGCUUAAGGAUGGGCCCGCGUAUCAUUAGCUAGUUGGUGAGAUAACAGCCCACCAAGGCAACGAUGAUUAGCCGGUCUGAGAGGGCGAACGGCCACAUUGGAACUGAGAGACGGUCCAAACUCCUACGGGAGGCAGCAGUGGGGAAUAUUGCGCAAUGGAGAAGAACUCUGACGCAGCAAUACCGCGUGAGCGAAGAAGGUCUUCGGAUCGUAAAGCUCUGUUAUCAGGGAAGAAGAAAAUGACGGUACCUGAUGAGCAAGUCCCGGCUAACUACGUGCCAGCAGCCGCAGUAAAAC